GAUGAACGCUGGCGGCGUGCCUAAUACAUGCAAGUCGAGCGAACAGACGAGGAUCUUGCUCCUCUGACGUUAGCGGCGGACGGGUGAGUAACACGUGGAUAACCUACCUAUAAGACUGGGAUAACUUCGGGAAACCGGAGCUAAUACCGGAUAACAUGUUGAGCCGCAGGGUUCAACAGUGAAAGACGGUCUUGCUGUCACUUAUAGAUGGAUCCGCGCCGCAUUAGCUAGUUGGUAAGGUAACGGCUUACCAAGGCAACGAUGCGUAGCCGACCUGAGAGGGUGAUAGGCCACACUGGAACUGAGACACGGUCCAGAGUCCUACGGGAGGCAGCAGUAGCGAAUGUUCCGCAAUGGGCGGAAGCAUGACGGAGCAACGCCGCGUGAGUGGAGAAGGUCUUCGGAUCGUAAAACUCUGUUAUUAGGGAAGAACAAAUGUGUAAGUAAAUAUGCACGUCUUGACGGUACCUAAUCAGAAAGCCACGGCUAACUACGUG
rnacentral:rRNA from 1 species